GGGAUAACUACUGGAAACGGUGGCUAAUACCGCAUAACGUCGCAAGACCAAAGAGGGGGACCUUCGGGCCUCUUGCCAUCAGAUGUGCCCAGAUGGGAUUAGCUUGUUGGUGAGGUAACGGCUCACCAAGGCGACGAUCCCUAGCUGGUCUGAGAGGAUGACCAGCCACACUGGAACUGAGACACGGUCCAGACUCCUACGGGAGGCAGCAGUGGGGAAUAUUGCACAAUGGGCGCAAGCCUGAUGCAGCCAUGCCGCGUGUAUGAAGAAGGCCUUCGGGUUGUAAAGUACUUUCAGCGGGGAGGAAGGUGUUGUGGUUAAUAACCGCAGCAAUUGACGUUACCCGCAGAAGAAGCACCGGCUAACUCCGUGCCAGCAGCCGCGGUAAUACGGAGGGUGCAAGCGUUAAUCGGAAUUACUGGGCGUAAAGCGCACGCAGGCGGUCUGUCAAGUCGGAUGUGAAAUCCCCGGGCUCAACCUGGGAACUGCAUUCGAAACUGGCAGGCUUGAGUCUUGUAGAGGGGGGUAGAAUUCCAGGUGUAGCGGUGAAAUGCGUAGAGAUCUGGAGGAAUACCGGUGGCGAAGGCGGCCCCCUGGACAAAGACUGACGCUCAGGUGCGAAAGCGUGGGGAGCAAACAGGAUUAGAUACCCUGGUAGUCCACGCCGUAAACGAUGUCUACUUGGAGGUUGUGCCCUUGAGGCGUGGCUUCCGGAGCUAACGCGUUAAGUAGACCGCCUGGGGAGUACGGCCGCAAGGUUAAAACUCAAAUGAAUUGACGGGGGCCCGCACAAGCGGUGGAGCAUGUGGUUUAAUUCGAUGCAACGCGAAGAACCUUACCUGGUCUUGACAUCCACGGAAGAAUUCAGAGAUGGAUUUGUGCCUUCGGGAACCGUGAGACAGGUGCUGCAUGGCUGUCGUCAGCUCGUGUUGUGAAAUGUUGGGUUAAGUCCCGCAACGAGCGCAACCCUUAU
rnacentral:rRNA from 1 species